GGAAAAGUCAGCUUCACUCUGUCUGGAAGAUGUACUUGGACAUUUGUACAUGACAUUGAUUCUGUCUGUCAUUCUGAAUAAUUAAUAAUCUCCUAGGAAUUACAUUUUUUCACCAGAAGGCAUGAAAUCUGACACAAAUGAGAUGGGAGUGGCCACUAGUCAACCAGGACAUGCAACCUCCUAAAUUGUAAAGGGUAGUACUAUACCCGAAUCCACAUUCUUUAACAAGGGAUUUGGACACCGAACACAUUCUGACACCCCCAAUAUCGAAAAGCAAACCGUUAGCGCUUAUGAGGCGAUUUAACAACGGGGACAACAUGCUGGACGCUGAUGCUGCAUUGCACAGCUGAUCUCAGUUGUCAAAAUGCAUCCAUACGGUGCAACUGGCCACACAUCGUCCGGGCAUGCAGAGACCGAGACAGAAACGGGGCUGGCUCCAUCACUGCAGUCCGAAAGCGACCUAUGCAGGAAGCGUAACAUUGCUGUCAAGACACGAUACAUGUCAUGAGUAGCGCUACUUUAUCACGCCAACUUCCGACAGCAGCAACGAGACAUACAGGCGUUCAGGUGACGCACAGCAGCAUUUCUAAAAUGUCUCAAAUGAAAAAAAAUUCGGUAGAGGCAGGAAAGUUGACCGCAUGGAUAAACAGGCAACUGCCACGCAACGAAGACAAACGGUGCUCGAUUGGUUAAUCAUGGAUCCGACUAGCUAAGCUUGUCCUGUUGUUGCCAAAGUAAUAUCAUGCAAUAGUAGUUUACGGUUUGAAAACUUCUGCUCGUAAGGAGCAGUGAACAGCAUUCGCGAACGAGUCCAAUCCUGCGGACUCAAAAAUUUCUGUCGCUAUUCCUGAUCUACACAUAUUGAUUGCAAAAUACAGUCAGUAAGUGCGCAUGUUUCAAUGACAAAGAUAUGUUUUGCUUACCAUCCAGCAGACCAUCACUGUUAGUCCAGAACGACAACACCUUCAAGGCGUCCACCUGUAAACUGUCGCUUUCAUACCUGUUCACUUACACGUCAUGCAUGAUGACAUGACCUGCGGUUGCAUGUGAGCUGGCCUCCACUACCUGCAGAGCCAGGGCUACAGGAGGUGAAAAGCAGGCAUGCCGAAUGCCUAAUGAAAUACGCGUCUCUCAUGUCCAACAUAUGCAAUAUUCAAGGAUUGGACGCGAUAAGAGGCACACAUAUAUUGGAGAAAUGAGACGGCGGCCGGCUGGCCUUGUCCACGGAUAAGCCGCCUGCUGCCUAUUAAGAAUGCAAGGCCCUACGCUGAUGGGAAGAAAUAUUAAGCAAGUGCUCAAUAAAUAAAUGAAAAAAGAUACCCAAGAUGCGAAUGUGCCACAUAUAUCAGGAUCAGUUCAGUGGGCCUUAUCCUUCGU
rnacentral:lncRNA from 1 species